rnacentral:lncRNA from 1 species
GGAAUUUCUCGCUACAUUGAAGACCUGUUGGUGACCCUCUGCUGUUGUUUUUUAUUUGGUCGGGUGGUUGUCUCUUUGACACAUUCCCCAUUUCCAUUCUUAAUUUUAAAAUCAAAUAACAAUACAAUAAUACUGUCAUAUGCUUUAUAUAAUGUUUUGGCUUUCUUAAGGGCAUAUCCAACAGUUUUGUCAUUUGAUUGUGCCAUGUGAUUAUGAACUUUCCGAUUAGAUUUUCGUCUGAGUUCAGUAUAUUUGAUAUUUUUAUUUUUACAUGUUUUGGGGAAUUGACAGACGAGAUUGAAAAAGAAAAUUUUAGUCAAUUUCAUCUUUUUGUAAUUACAAAACAGUAUAUUAUAACAAACAAAAUACAUUUAGUCAAUGAUACCACUUCUCGAAUAAC